UCUGGUUGAUCCUGCCUGAACUGAUGUGUUUAUUUCAAAGAUUAAGCCAUGCAUGUAUAAGUUUAAUCGUUUAUCGAGAAACCGCGAACGGCUCAUUAGAAUGGCCAUUAUUUACUUGAUCUUGAUUGUCUAAAUGGAUAACUGUGGAAAAGCUAGAGCUAAUACAUGCACUAAAGCUUUGUCCUUACGGAAAAGCGCAUUUAUUAGAACAAAACCACGCGGCUUCGGCUGCUUCUUGUUGACUCAGAAUAACUUAGCUGACCGCAUGGCCUUGUGCCGGCGGCGUGUCUUUCAAGCGUCCACUUUAUCAACUUGACGGGAGCAUAAUCGACUCCCGUGGUGGUGACGGAUAACGGAGGAUCAGGGUUCGACUCCGGAGAAGGGGCCUGAGAAAUGGCCACUACGUCUAAGGAUGGCAGCAGGCGCGCAAAUUACCCACUCUCGGCUCCAGGAGGUAGUGACGAGAAAUAACGAGACUGUUCUCUUUGAGGCCGGUCAUCGGAAUGGGUACAAUUUAAACCCUUUAACGAGUAUCAAGCAGAGGGCAAGUCUGGUGCCAGCAGCCGCGGUAAUUCCAGCUCUGCAAAUACAUAGAAUUAUUGCUGCGGUUAGAAAGCUCAUAGUUGGAUUCGUAUCGAUACCUUGGAACCCUUCGGGUGUCUCUAGGUGUUAUCGAUUUAUCGUAAUGUUCGGUUUUGAGUCCUUAACAGGAUUCUUAACAGGCAUUGCAAGUUUACUUUGAACAAAUCAGAGUGCUUCAAACAGGCGUUUUCGCUUGAAUGAUCGUGCAUGGAAUAAUAGAAAAUGAUUUCGGUUCAGUUUUAUUGGUUUUACGGACUGAGAUAAUGGUUAACAGAGACAAACGGGGGCAUUUGUAUGGUCCCGUGAGAGGUGAAAUUCUUGGACCGUGGCCAGACAAACUACAGCGAAAGCAUUUGCCAAGAAUGUUUUUAUUAAUCAAGAACGAAAGUCAGAGGUUCGAAGGCGAUCAGAUACCGCCCUAGUUCUGACCGUAAACGAUGCCAACUAGCUAUCCGCCGAUGGAAAUUAUAUUGCCUUGGUGGGGAGCUUCCCGGAAACGAAAGUCUUCCGGUUCCGGGGGAAGUAUGGUUGCAAAGCUGAAACUUAAAGGAGUUGACGGAAGGGCACCACCAGGAGUGGAGCCUGCGGCUUAAUUUGACUCAACACGGGGAAACUCACCCGGCCCGGACACUGUGAGGAUUGACAGAUUGAUAGCUUUUUCAUGAUUCAGUGGAUGGUGGUGCAUGGCCGUUCUUAGUUCGUGGAGUGAUUUGUCUGGUUUAUUCCGAUAACGAGCGAGACUCUAACCUACUAAAUAGUUGGUACAUACUCUUAGUGUAUACAGCUUCUUAGAGGGAUUUGCGGCGUUCAGCCGAAAGAAAUUGAGCAAUAACAGGUCUGUGAUGCCCUUAGAUGUCCGGGGCUGCACGCGCGCUACACUGGCAAAAUCAACGUGCUUGUCCUACCCUGAAAGGGGCGGGUAAACCAUUGAAAAUUUGCCGUGAUUGGGAUCGGAAAUUGCAAUUAUUUUCCGUGAACGAGGAAUUCCAAGUAAGUGCGAGUCAUCAGCUCGCGUUGAUUACGUCCCUGCCCUUUGUACACACCGCCCGUCGCUGCCCGGGACUGAGCCAUUUCGAGAAAUUUGGGGACCGUUGAUUUAAUUUUUCUAAAUUACUUUGAUGGAAACCAAUUUAAUCGCAGUGGCUUGAACCGGGCAAAAGUCGUAACAAGGUAGCUGUAGGUGAACCUGCUGCUG
rnacentral:rRNA from 1 species